rnacentral:misc_RNA from 1 species
GAUGAAGAACGCAGCGAAAUGCGAUACGUAAUGUGAAUUGCAGAUUUCAGUGAAUCAUCGAAUCUUUGAACGCACAUUGCGCCCGCUAGUAUUCUGGCGGGCAUGCCUGUUCGAGCGUCAUUUCAACCAUCAAGCCCUAGGCUUGCGUUGGAGCCCUGCGGCUGCCGCAGGCCCCAAAUCCAGUGGCGGGCUCGUCGUCGUACCGAGUGCAGUAAACAUCCUCGCUCAGGGAACGUGACGGGUUCUUGCCGUGAAACCCCCCACAUAUCAAGGUUGACCUCGGAUCAGGUAGGAAUACCCGCUGAACUUAAGCAUAUCAAUAAGCGGAGGA